AACGAACGCUGGCGGCAGGCUUAACACAUGCAAGUCGAACGCCCCGCAAGGGGAGUGGCAGACGGGUGAGUAACGCGUGGGAACAUACCCUUUUCUGCGGAAUAGCUCUGGGAAACUGGAAUUAAUACCGCAUACGCCCUACGGGGGAAAGAUUUAUCGGGGAAGGAUUGGCCCGCGUUGGAUUAGCUAGUUGGUGGGGUAGAGGCCUACCAAGGCGACGAUCCAUAGCUGGUCUGAGAGGAUGAUCAGCCACAGUGGGACUGAGACACGGCCCAAACUCCUACGGGAGGCAGCAGUGGGGAAUAUUGGACAAUGGGCGCAAGCCUGAUCCAGCCAUGCCGCGUGAGUGAUGAAGGCCUUAGGGUUGUAAAGCUCUUUCACCGGUGAAGAUAAUGACGGUAACCGGAGAAGAAGCCCCGGCUAACUUCGUGCCAGCAGCCGCAGUAACAC
rnacentral:rRNA from 1 species